GGGUGUCAACCGCGUCGGGCGGUGAGGCAGGACGUGCGAUGGUCGGGCCGCCACG
rnacentral:ncRNA from 12 species